CGGGGCGUAGCGCAGCCUGGUAGCGCACUUGCAUGGGGUGCAAGGGGUCGCGAGUUCAAAUCCCGCCGUCCCGA
rnacentral:tRNA from 1 species